GCGACCGUUGUCGGUGCCGUAGGGAAGCCGUGAAGCGAGCCACCUGGGAAGUACGGCCGCAAGGCUGAAACUUAAAGGAAUUGGCGGGGGAGCACCACAACGGGUGGAGCUUGCGGUUUAAUUGGAUUCAACGCCGGAAAUCUUACCGGGACCGACAGCAAUAUGAAAGCCAGGCUGAAGACUUUGCCGGAUUAGCUGAAGGG
rnacentral:rRNA from 1 species